UACAGAGGGGGCAAGCGUUGUUCGGAAUUACUGGGCGUAAAGGGCGCGUAGGCGGUCAGCACAAGUCAGUUGUGAAAUCUCCGGGCUUAACUCGGAAAGGUCAACUGAUACUGUGCGACUAGAGUGCGGAAGGGGCAACUGGAAUUCUCGGUGUAGCGGUGAAAUGCGUAGAUAUCGAGAGGAACACCUGCGGCGAAGGCGGGUUGCUGGGCCGACACUGACGCUGAUGCGCGAAAGCCAGGGGAGCGAACGGG
rnacentral:rRNA from 1 species